GUAAUCUUUGACUAUGUACAGAUUCAGUGAGCAUAGCCCUUUCUAGGGAGUUUUUCCUAGCCACCGUGCUUCUACACCUGCAUUGCUUGCUGUUUGGGGUUUUAGGCUGGGUUUCUGUACAGCACUUUGAGAUAUCAGCUGAUGUAAGAAGGGCUAUAUAAAUACAUUUGAUUUGAUUUGAUUUGCAUAGCCUGGCUCUCAAGAGAAGACAGGCUAUGUGCACACUGCCCACAAAAUGAGGUGGAAACUAAGCUACACUUCCUAACUUCCUGCCAAAUGUAUGACCAUAUUAGAGACACAUAUUUCCCUCAGAUUACACAGACCCACAAAGAAUUCAAAAACAAAUCCAAUUUUGAUAAACUCCCACAUCUAUUAGAAGAAUGGUGCCAGACGGGAUGACUGCCGUUUAACUUGCUCUUAACCAACUGUGCUAUUUUCUUUGUUUUUUCAUGUUGUUUGUAACUUAUUUUUUAACUUAUUUUGUACAUAAUGUUGCUGCUACCGUCUCUUAUGACUGAAAAUAACUUCUGGCAUCAGAACAGCGAUUACUCACCUCGAACUAGACAAAGAAUUAUACUUUAACGAGUCCGACGCAAAGGUUAUACUGCUUUCUCUGGAACAGGCCCAAAUCCCCGUCCUUUGCGUGAAGAAAAGAUGGAGAAAAAGGGAGCGGCGGUCGGGAUGCCUUCUGAGAAUUCGUAGGCGAUCCUUACCGGUUUUGACCGUUCUACCUGCCCUGACCCUGAGACUGCCUGCCGUUCUGGACCUUUUGCACCCUCUCUGGAUUACUGACCUCUGCCGGCCUUUGACCUGUCGUUUGCCUGCCCCUGUACUAGAAAUAAACUUGUGUUUCUUUGACACUGUCAUACCUUAAACCUGAUAAGCGACACAUAAUUCCCUCAGAUUACACAGAUCCACAAAGAAUUUGAAAACAAACCCAAUUUUGAUAAACUCCCAUAUCUUUUGGUUGAAAUAGCACAGUGUGCCAUCACAGCAGCAAUAUGUGUGACCUGUUGCCACAAGAAAAGGGCCAACCAGUGAAGAACAAACACCACUGUUAAUACAACCCAUAUUUAUGUUUAUUCUUUUCCCCCCUUUCCCCCUUUCCACUUGUAAUUAUUAUUAUUUUGGAACUUCUAUGAGUGUAAUGUUUAGUGUUAAUUUUUAUUGUUUAUUUCAAUUUUGUUUAUUAUCUACUUCACUUGCUUUGGCAAUGUUAAAAUAUGUUUCCCAUGCCAAUACAGCCCUUG
rnacentral:lncRNA from 1 species